rnacentral:rRNA from 1 species
AAAUUGAAGAGUUUGAUCAUGGCUCAGAUUGAACGCUGGCGGCAGGCCUAACACAUGCAAGUCGAGCGGUAGCACAGAGAGCUUGCUCUCGGGUGACGAGCGGCGGACGGGUGAGUAAUGUCUGGGAAACUGCCUGAUGGAGGGGGAUAACUACUGGAAACGGUAGCUAAUACCGCAUAACGUCGCAAGACCAAAGAGGGGGACCUUCGGGCCUCUUGCCAUCAGAUGUGCCCAGAUGGGAUUAGCUAGUAGGUGGGGUAACGGCUCACCUAGGCGACGAUCCCUAGCUGGUCUGAGAGGAUGACCAGCCACACUGGAACUGAGACACGGUCCAGACUCCUACGGGAGGCAGCAGUGGGGAAUAUUGCACAAUGGGCGCAAGCCUGAUGCAGCCAUGCCGCGUGUAUGAAGAAGGCCUUCGGGUUGUAAAGUACUUUCAGCGGGGAGGAAGGCGUUGAGGUUAAUAACCUCAGCGAUUGACGUUACCCGCAGAAGAAGCACCGGCUAACUCCGUGCCAGCAGCCGCGGUAAUACGGAGGGUGCAAGCGUUAAUCGGAAUUACUGGGCGUAAAGCGCACGCAGGCGGUCUGUCAAGUCGGAUGUGAAAUCCCCGGGCUCAACCUGGGAACUGCAUUCGAAACUGGCAGGCUAGAGUCUUGUAGAGGGGGGUAGAAUUCCAGGUGUAGCGGUGAAAUGCGUAGAGAUCUGGAGGAAUACCGGUGGCGAAGGCGGCCCCCUGGACAAAGACUGACGCUCAGGUGCGAAAGCGUGGGGAGCAAACAGGAUUAGAUACCCUGGUAGUCCACGCCGUAAACGAUGUCGACUUGGAGGUUGUGCCCUUGAGGCGUGGCUUCCGGAGCUAACGCGUUAAGUCGACCGCCUGGGGAGUACGGCCGCAAGGUUAAAACUCAAAUGAAUUGACGGGGGCCCGCACAAGCGGUGGAGCAUGUGGUUUAAUUCGAUGCAACGCGAAGAACCUUACCUACUCUUGACAUCCAGAGAACUUAGCAGAGAUGCUUUGGUGCCUUCGGGAACUCUGAGACAGGUGCUGCAUGGCUGUCGUCAGCUCGUGUUGUGAAAUGUUGGGUUAAGUCCCGCAACGAGCGCAACCCUUAUCCUUUGUUGCCAGCGGUCCGGCCGGGAACUCAAAGGAGACUGCCAGUGAUAAACUGGAGGAAGGUGGGGAUGACGUCAAGUCAUCAUGGCCCUUACGAGUAGGGCUACACACGUGCUACAAUGGCGCAUACAAAGAGAAGCGACCUCGCGAGAGCAAGCGGACCUCAUAAAGUGCGUCGUAGUCCGGAUUGGAGUCUGCAACUCGACUCCAUGAAGUCGGAAUCGCUAGUAAUCGUAGAUCAGAAUGCUACGGUGAAUACGUUCCCGGGCCUUGUACACACCGCCCGUCACACCAUGGGAGUGGGUUGCAAAAGAAGUAGGUAGCUUAACCUUCGGGAGGGCGCUUACCACUUUGUGAUUCAUGACUGGGGUGAAGUCGUAACAAGGUAACCGUAGGGGAACCUGCGGUUGGAUCACCUCCUUA